AAGAUUUUUUUUCCUAUUCAAUAUGUCUGCACUACAAUUCCUAAAUAUGGAAGACAAAACCAAACAAAAAUACCACUGAACUACCACCAGAAAAACCAACCCAUUAAGCUUAAUGAACCAUAAAGGCUCACAGCACAAAUUUCAAAUUGCAGGCAGAGGUAAUGCCUUCACAGUUGAAAUAACCACCAGUGUUUGACUGAGGCUGAGAAAACUGGCAAAGUAACUUGACAAUGAGUUACGUCAAGCAGUCAGUAACAGAUUUAAGAGGUGAUGGUAUGUGAUGCUCUCUUUCUAUCUCUUGAGAGUAAUCAAGGAGGAAAAAUUCAUGGGCAUCUUUUUUACGGCAAUUAGUGGCAAGUGACUACGAAGAACCCUGUGUUGAGAAGCUGAGCUUAAGCCUCUUGAAGAUUCUCCAUGUAAACAAGUCAGACCACAUCACUCAUUAUCCCUCUUUUGUUUACUGGGAGAAAAGUUCAACCUAUUUAAUGAGAGGAUUACCCAUACUUCAACUCCAUUGAAAAAGAUUAAUUGAUAUUUUCCUGUUAGGGGUUUAACCACUUGGAUGUGGCCUCAUAUCCCCUAUUGUUACUGAUGCUGUGAUCAGCAGAGCAAAGUUGUUUAAAGGUUAGACAAACUUUGCAGCAUAAAUUACACAAACUAAUUUAUGUUAAAGUUUGG
ensembl:lncRNA